rnacentral:rRNA from 1 species
CCUACGGGAGGCUGCAGUGGGGAAUAUUGGGCAAUGGAGGCAACUCUGACCCAGCAACGCCGCGUGAAUGAUGAAGGUCUUCGGAGUGUAAAGUUCUUUUCUAAGGGAAGAAGAAAGUGACGGUACCUUAGGAAUAAGCCGCGGCUAACUACGUGCCAGGAGCAGCGGUAAUAAGUAGGAGGCAAGCGUUAUCCGGAAGGACUGGGUGUAAAGGGUGCGCAGGCGGAAGAUCAAGUCAACGGUAAAAUUGAGAGGCUCAACCUCUUCGAGCCGUUGAAACUGGUUUUCUUGAGUGAGCGAGAAGUAUGCGGAAUGCGUGGUGUAGCGGUGAAAUGCAUAGAUAUCACGCAGAACUCCGAUUGCGAAGGCAGCAUACCGGCGCUCAACUGACGCUCAUGCACGAAAGUGUGGGUAUCGAACAGGAUUAGAUACCCCAGUAGUC